GAUAUAAUCAAAUAUUUACAAAAAUGUGAGGGGUGUACUCACUUUUGUGAGAUACUGUAUAUGUAGUUCCACUCUAGGAGGAGCUUGACACUACUAGAUUUCCACCAACAUCUGAGGCCUUCUGCAACAUGCCAAAGGCAAUAUGUAAAAAAUUCAACUCAUCCUAUCCUCUUCAAGUUCUUCCUGACCACAUCAACUCAUGCUCUGUUGUUAUUGUGGAUAAUGCGAACCAGGCAACAGUGAACAGGAAACACGGGAGUUACCUGCCUGUUUGAGGGGCAGCCAGACCACUUGGUGCCCUCAUCUUCACAGUCUUUUAACGAAAGUGACCUCUUCCUGGUAGCAGGACGAAUGCUCGGCCAUUCCUUCCUUCAUGGCAGACCAUGUCUUGCAGGGCUCAGCAGAGGUUUUGUCCAUGUGCUGCUGCUUCGUUCACAUGAUAUAGCCACUUUACUGUUGGAUGACUGCCCUGAUAUUGAUGUGUGAGAGACCAUCAACCUGGUAUAUAUAUACAAUAUAGAUACUUGGUCAACUUUUCAGUAAGUAUUCUUUUUACUCUAAGGAUAUUUUGUACUAAUUUUAUAAAAAAAAUAUUAAUUGAGCUUAAUGUACAAUAUCAAUUGGAUGAGGACCAACAUAAGAAAGAUUUGGAGCUUUGUUUGUUUUGGGAUCUCCCGGGUCCAACCGAAGAAAACAGAAGGUGGCUCUACGUACGUCUGCUUUCACAUGCGGUAAUUUCUUGUUUGUGGUAUGUGGUUACAUAUAUUCAAAUACCUGUAUUUCUGGACAAGACCAUGUUUUAUGUUAUGUCUUCUGAGUAUAUUGGAAUAUGCUUAAAGAUCAUUUUAAUGGAAACUCCUUUGAAGUAUCAGGUAAUGAACUAUUGGCACUCUGAUGAAUGUAGUUUUUUGAAUUUCUCUCCAUUUGUGUUUUAGGUCUCUAUGCUCUGUAAAUCUGGCUUGCAUAUUUAAUCCACAUUUUACUUAUAGAAUUUUGAAGUAGUGUCAAAUAAAAGAUGAACUGUCUGCUUAGCGAGUAAGCGCUUCUCAAACUGAAGAUACAUUGAACGAUUUAGAAGAUAUGUUGGAUGAUUUAUAAUGACAGAAAUUAAACUGCCUUCUGUGAUGCUUACUGGCUGUUUUGCUCAUUUUGGUAAAUAUUGUAGGUUCUUGGGAGAAAUACACGCCAAAUGAAACAACUCAGACGAGGACUUUAAGAUACAAUUGUUUGGUCGCUUCUGACUGAGAGGAAGGAUAUGGUGUUUUUUUCCAAUGGAAUCUGAAGACUCUUGAUCCUCUGAGACAACAGUCUACUGGUCAUGAUGUAGAUGCUGCUUUCUCGAAUAUCCUGGCCUGCUGAUGAUGAUGAUGAUGAUGAGGAAUACCCAGCUGAAACAAACAAACGUGUCACUGGGUACUUGAGGCAGUUCAUUGAGAUGGUUAUAUUCCAUCCAUCCAUCCAUCCAUCCAUCCAUCCAUCUUCUACCGCUUAUCCUUCCUCAAGGUCGCGGGGGAACCUGGAGCCUAUCCCAGGGAGCAUUGGGCACAAGGCGGGGUACACCCCGGACAGGGUGCAAGUUGCAAGUCCAUCGCAGGGCACACUCACACACCCAUUCAUACACUACGGACACUUUAGACACGCCAAUCAGCCUACCAUGCAUGUCUUUGGACUGGGGGAGAAAACCGGAGUACCCGGAGGAAACCCCCGCAGCACGGGGAGAACAUGCAAACUCCGCACACACAUGGCCCCAGCGGGAAUCGAACCCCGGGCAGUUAUAUUUUGCCUUUUAAAAUAAAGUGAAUUAUGUGCCUUGUUUAAGACCACAAAUUGUUGCUGUCAUAAAUGGCAGAAUAACUUCAACAAUUUUUUAAAAUAAGAUUUUUUAAAUUCGAUUUCAGCAUCUAGCAAGGACCUGAAUGACCUGCUCAAGUUCUGGGUUGGAUGAGAAGUUGCUAAAGAAAGUCUGGCUGUGGAAGUUGUUAGUGAUGACUUCUCAAGAGCCUCUACCUGCUUCUGUAUCCUCAGAUUACCAGCGCACUACAAAGAUUACCAGUCCUUCAGGAUGGACUUGAUUAUGUGCAUUGGGUCAUGCAAGUAUGGUUUUAGAAAUGUGUAACUUUAACUUUGAUUAUUCAGCAGCUAUGACUGAAUAUUUCUUCACUACCGUUCACUAUUUCAUUGUUGCCUUAAUCAUGCAGCGUAAAUGUUUCAGUGCUACUUUACUAUAUGCAUGAAAGUGCUGUUUGUCCAGAUCUCCCCUGCAGAUGGCGCUGCAGUGCGCGACGUGCAUGGAGAGCCGGAGGGCGUGCACGUGCACGCGCUGUGAGUACGCAUGGACGAUAGUGACUUUGUUCAAUGGACACGUUCACUUGUUUUGUUUUCUGUUCUGUCUCCUCCUUGUGCAGUUACUGGCGGGAGUGCAAGGGUGCGUCUUGAUUGUUUCCAGCUGCCUGAGUUCUAGUUUGAUUACGUUUGUUAUUUAAACCCCUGGUGUUGCUCUGAACUUCGUGCAGUAUUAUUUACGUUCAGGUUUGCAAUGUAUGUGUUAGCUCCCUCGAUGCUAAACGAGUUCGAGUUCUCGUGUCCUGUUCCUGUGUUAUGCUUCAUGCCUCAUUUUAUGUUUAGACCUUGUUCCAUGUUUAGACCACGUACCUUGGUGUUUGUUGAUUUCUGUUUGUGAAUAAAGACUUUCAUCUGCACUUGCUUUCUGCUUCCAAGUCCCGUUUCAUAACACUGUUACUGUUUAAUGUUUACUAUGAUGUGAAAGUCUGUUCUGUUUUAACAUGCAUGGCACAUGCAAUAUUUGCCAAGAUGGCAUGUAGUAAGUUUCUACUGUACCCCACCACACUAUUUUAGAUGCAGUGGCUCCUGAAUGUUUUUGGUGAAAAUGAAACUGU